UACGUAGGGGGGCAAGCGUUGUCCGGAAUCAUUGGGCGUAAAGAGCGUGUAGGCGGCCAGAUAAGUCCGCUGUGAAAUCUCGAGGCUCAACUUCGAGCUGUCGGUGGAAACUGUCUGGCUAGAGUCCGGAAGAGGAGAAUGGAAUUCCUGGUGUAGCGGUGAAAUGCGCAGAUAUCAGGAAGAACACCCGUGGCGAAGGCGGGUCUCUGGGCCACUACUGACGCUGAGAAGCGAAAGCAUGGGGGAGCGAACAGG
rnacentral:rRNA from 1 species